AGAGUUUGAUCCUGGCUCAGAUUGAACGCUGGCGGCAUGCUUUACACAUGCAAGUCGAACGGCAGCACGGGUGCUUGCACCUGGUGGCGAGUGGCGAACGGGUGAGUAAUGCACCGGAACGUACCCAGUAAUGGGGGAUAACACAUCGAAAGAUGUGCUAAUCCCGCAUACGCCCUGAGGGGGAAAGCGGGGGAUCGUAAGACCUCGCGUUAUUGGAGCGGCCGAUGCCGGAUUAGCUAGUUGGUGAGGUAAGAGCUCACCAAGGCGACGAUCCGUAGCUGGUCUGAGAGGACGACCAGCCACACUGGGACUGAGACACGGCCCAGACUCCUACGGGAGGCAGCAGUGGGGAAUUUUGGACAAUGGGCGCAAGCCUGAUCCAGCCAUGCCGCGUGAGUGAAGAAGGCCUUCGGGUUGUAAAGCUCUUUCGCAAGGAAAGAAAACUUAUCUACUAA
rnacentral:rRNA from 1 species